rnacentral:rRNA from 1 species
UACGGAGGGUGCAAGCGUUAUCCGGAUUUAUUGGGUUUAAAGGGAGCGUAGGCGGGAUUGUAAGUCAGUGGUGAAAGCCCGUAGCUCAACUACGGAACUGCCAUUGAUACUGCAGACCUAGAGUACACUUGAAGUGGGCGGAAUGUGUCAUGUAGCGGUGAAAUGCUUAGAUAUGACACAGAACACCAAUUGCGAAGGCAGCUCACUAAAUUGUAACUGACGCUGAGGCUCGAUAGCGUGGGGAUCAAACGGG